ACUUUGAAAAUUUAAUGGUGGAAAUACUAGAUUUUAUUAUUUUUUGGCGUUAACUGUUUAACAUGUAAUACUGUUAUGAAUAAUUAUGAUACAUAAAUACAUUUUGUUAACCAUAAUUUAAAAGAUUAUUAAAUGGUAAGCAGUACAGCAUUUACUAUUCUAGGAAAUUAUUAAAAUGAUUAAUCAUUUUUUAGUAAUAAUAAUAAUACACCAUCGUCACCAUCAAUUGUAUCAUUAUUUUUUUAAUGGGUAAUCAAGAAAAGUCAUUGUUAUUAGAAGCUCAAGUGUCAAGGCUAUUACAGAAAACAGACUAAAUACAAGACAUGUGAUAUAAUUAACAUAAAAUAUUGAACUUAAACAAAAAUAACAAUUUAAAUAACUGAAAUUAUCAAAAACAAAUUUAUAUAAUUUAUUCAAGUUUCAAACUUAAAACCAGCAUCCCAAAUUUUAUAAAAAUAUCUUUGACAAGGACUCUCAUUUGCAUUUGCAAAUCACUUAUACCUAGAUUGAAAGUAUUUCAAUACCUGCUCAGUUUGCAUCUACAAUCCUAUCAAUCUAAUACAUGCCAUCAAUAUCAAUCUUAUAAACAGAAUAUAUUGCAAUGGAUAAAUCUUCAAGGGACAGUGAGACACCCUGAAUAGUUGGUACGGACGGUACGUUUUUAUAAUUUUAAUUUUGUCAAAUGAAUAUCUAUUUCAAUAUUUUAAAAAUUAUUUUUAUUGCACUAUUCUGAGCGAAACAUACUAAGGCCAAGCACUCAAGCCGAUCGACAGUUGUAUUAUUUUAAUAAUUUUAUUUAGGUAUAAACAGCCGAUUUAAAAAAAAGAUUAGUGGCAUAAAAUACAGACAAAUUAUAAAAUUAUAAAUAUAGCUUAGCAAUAAAAUUAUUAGAUUGUAGGUAUUUUUGUAAAAUAUAGAUAGACAUUAGGGGUCCCCCGAAAGUAUAAUUAAUAAUUAUAUAUUUUUAGUAUAUAUAUUUAUUAAACACCCUGAAUACGAGUAGGUAUCUAUUGUACAUAUUUUGUAUAUUGGCAUAUGUUUCUACUUUAUAUAAUUGUAUGUAGCCAUCAGCCAUGUAGUAAUUUAUUAACUUGUAAAAAUUGUAGGUAUACCAGAUACCUAAACCUAUAAGUAUUAGGUUUAAGUAUACCUAUGUACCUAUACUAUUUAUGUAUCAUGACACGUUGAGUAAUUAUCUGUCUUCUCACUUUCUAGUUCAAAUCCACCAAUUGUUCCAUGUAUAAUUUACACAUUAACAUAAUUAUAUUACAUUAGAGUUCUACCUUAUUUCUGAUUGCUGCAACAGCGAUUUAUUUCUAUACCAUUCGUAAAUUGUAAGGCCCAUAAGAGACUGAUUAGGCCUGCUCUUCACUUAUAAGCUGCAAAAUUAAUAGGUUAUAUGAAAAUAUAAUUAAUAGGUACCUACAACCUAACCUAACCUAUACGACUACACAGAAUGUUUGUAUGCUAUUUUUAACAUUUUGUUGGACGAUGCCUUUUUAUAUAGUUGGUGUCCAUUUAUAAUGCCUAUAUAAAUGUUACAUAAAAUGUAUAAGGUAUAAUUGCGAAUUAAAAUUGCAAAAAGGUUUUAGCGUGCAUUUAUUAUGUAUAGGUAGGUAUAAUUCAUGUGAAAUCUGUUUGUCGUUUAAAAUAUAUCAAUCGUAUUAAUUUUUAUAAAA